ACUAUUUUGGCAGAAAAGUGCAAUGGAUUUAGAAUCUGUGAAUGUAGAAUUUUAAUAUUUUAUAAAUAGUA
rnacentral:tRNA from 1 species